AUACGGAGGAUGCAAGCGUUAUCCGGAUUUAUUGGGUUUAAAGGGUGCGUAGGCGGUUUGCUAAGCGGGAGGUGAAAUGCCGGCGCUCAACGUCGGAAGUGCCUCCCGAACUGGUGGACUUGAAUGACUCUGCCGUGGGAGGAAUGUGUAGUGUAGCGGUGAAAUGCUUAGAGAUUACACAGAACACCGAUUGCGAAGGCAUCUCACGAAGGGUUGAUUGACGCUGAGGCACGAAAGCGUGGGGAUCAAACAGGAUUAGAUACCCUGGUAGUCCACGCAGUAAACGAUGAUGGCUAACCGCUGGGCUUAUCAGUUCAGUGGCCAAGCGAAAGCGAUAAGCCAUCCACCUGGGGAGUACGACCGCAAGG
rnacentral:rRNA from 1 species